rnacentral:rRNA from 1 species
UGGGGAAUAUUGGACAAUGGGGGGAACCCUGAUCCAGCCAUGCCGCGUGUGUGAAGAAGGCCUUAUGGUUGUAAAGCACUUUAAGCGAGGAGGAGGGUACUGGUAUUAAUACUACCAGCUACUGGACGUUACUCGCAGAAUAAGCACCGGCUAACUCUGUGCCAGCAGCCGCGGUAAUACAGAGGGUGCGAGCGUUAAUCGGAUUUACUGGGCGUAAAGCGUGCGUAGGCGGCUAAUUGAGUCGGAUGUGAAAUCCCCGAGCUUAACUUGGGAAUUGCAUUCGAUACUGGUUAGCUAGAGUGUGGGAGAGGAUGGUAGAAUUCCCGGUGUAGCGGUGAAAUGCGUAGAGAUCUGGAGGAAUACCGAUGGCGAAGGCAGCCAUCUGGCCUAACACUGACGCUGAGGUACGAAAGCAUGGGGAGCAAACAGG